rnacentral:rRNA from 1 species
ACUCCUACGGGAGGCAGCAGUGGGGAAUAUUGGACAAUGGGCGCAAGCCUGAUCCAGCAAUGCCGCGUGAGUGAUGAAGGCCUUAGGGUUGUAAAGCUCUUUCGCCCGCGACGAUGAUGACGGUAGCGGGAGAAGAAGCCCCGGCUAACUCCGUGCCAGCAGCCGCGGUAAUACGGAGGGGGCUAGCGUUGUUCGGAAUUACUGGGCGUAAAGGGCGCGCAGGCGGCUGCUCAAGUCAGGCGUGAAAGGCCUGGGCUCAACCCGGGAAUUGCGCUUGAGACUGGGCUGGCUUGAGUGCGGGAGAGGAUGGUGGAAUUCCCAGUGUAGAGGUGAAAUUCGUAGAUAUUGGGAAGAACACCGGUGGCGAAGGCGGCCAUCUGGACCGCAACUGACGCUGAGGCGCGAAAGCGUGGGGAGCAAACAGGAUUAGAUACCCUGGUAGUCCACGCCGUAAACGAUGAGUGCUAGACGUUGGGGAGCCUAGCUUUGCCGGUGUCGCAGCUAACGCA